GGCUGAAAGCAAUGAUGUUGCCAUUCAUCCUUUCACGUAUUCAUUAUGGUCUACAGCUGAGAAGGGCUAUUUGGGGUUUGCUUUGCCUGAUGGUAGCAGAAGAAAACCAAGAGGCCUCUCUACGAAAGCUUGCAGUAAGGAGAAAGUUCUGGAGACUGGGAAGAGCAACACAAAGAUAUUCAGUUGCUUGGUGAGAGCUGCUCUCUGCUUCCAAGGCGGCACCUUGUUGCUGCAUUCUCCAAUGGGAAGGAACGCUGGGUCCUCACAUGACAGAAGGUGGAAAGGGUGGGUCCUAAUCCACUGUAACAGCUGUCCUUAUAUGAAAAAGAAGAAGACAGAUACCUGUGAAAGGCAGAUCCUGAGAAGACACAGGGAGAAGGCAGCCAUCCACAAGCCAAGGAAAGAAGGCUCUAAAGAAAUUAACCCUGCCAACAACUUAGUCUCUGAUGUUUAGCCUCCAGACUAGUGACAGAAUAAAUUUCUAUUG
rnacentral:lncRNA from 10 species